AUUGAACGCUGGCGGCGUGCUUAACACAUGCAAGUCGAUCGGUAACAGGUGUAGCAAUACAUGCUGACGAGAGGCGGACGGGUGAGUAAUGCUUGGGAAUCUGCCUAUUAGUGGGGGACAACCCGGGGAAACUCGGGCUAAUACCGCAUACGCUCUACGGAGGAAAGCCGGGGACCGCAAGGCCUGGCGCUAAUAGAUGAGCCCAAGUCGGAUUAGCUAGUUGGUAGGGUAACGGCCUACCAAGGCGACAAUCCGUAGCUGGUCUGAGAGGACGACCAGCCACACCGGAACUGAGACACGGUCCGGACUCCUACGGGAGGCAGCAGUGGGGAAUAUUGGACAAUGGGGGCAACCCUGAUCCAGCGACGCCGCGUGGGUGAAGAAGGCCUGCGGGUUGUAAAGCCCUUUCGGUGGGGAAGAAAGUCUCGACCUAAUACGUCGGGACCUUGACGUAACCCACUAAAGAAGCACCGGCUAACUCUGUG
rnacentral:rRNA from 1 species